UAGCUCAGUCAGUUGAGUAUAGCGCUAACAAUGCUAAGAUCGUGGGUUCGAUUCCCGU
rnacentral:tRNA from 1 species